GGCGGGACACGUGGUAUCCUGUCUGAAUAUGGGGGGACCAUCCUCCAAGGCUAAAUACUCCUGACUGACCGAUAGUGAACCAGUACCGUGAGGGAAAGGCGAAAAGAACCCCGGCGAGGGGAGUGAAAAAGAACCUGAAACCGUGUACGUACAAGCAGUGGGAGCACCCUUUGGGGUGUGACUGCGUACCUUUUGUAUAAUGGGUCAGCGACUUAUAUUCUGUAGCAAGGUUAACCGAAUAGGGGAGCCGGAGGGAAACCGAGUCUUAAUUGGGCGUUAAGUUGCAGGGUAUAGACCCGAAACCCGGUGAUCUAGCCAUGGGCAGGUUGAAGGUUGGGUAACACUAACUGGAGGACCGAACCGACUAAUGUUGAAAAAUUAGCGGAUGACCUGUGGCUGGGGGUGAAAGGCCAAUCAAACCGGGAGAUAGCUGGUUCUCCCCGAAAGCUAUUUAGGUAGCGCCUCGUGAAUUCAUCUCCGGGGGUAGAGCACUGUUUCGGCUAGGGGGCCAUCCCGGCUUACCAACCCGAUGCAAACUGCGAAUACCGGAGAAUGUUAUCACGGGAGACACACGGCGGGUGCUAACGUCCGUCGUGAAGAGGGAAACAACCCAGACCGCCAGCUAAGGUCCCAAAGUCAUGGUUAAGUGGGAAACGAUGUGGGAAGGCCCAGACAGCCAGGAUGUUGGCUUAGAAGCAGCCAUCAUUUAAAGAAAGCGUAAUAGCUCACUGGUCGAGUCGGCCUGCGCGGAAGAUGUAACGGGGCUAAACCAUGCACCGAAGCUGCGGCAGCGACACUCAGGUGUUGUUGGGUAGGGGAGCGUUCUGUAAGCCUGCGAAGGUGGCCUGUGAGGGUUGCUGGAGGUAUCAGAAGUGCGAAUGCUGACAUAAGUAACGAUAAAGCGGGUGAAAAGCCCGCUCGCCGGAAGACCAAGGGUUCCUGUCCAACGUUAAUCGGGGCAGGGUGAGUCGACCCCUAAGGCGAGGCCGAAAGGCGUAGUCGAUGGGAAACGGGUUAAUAUUCCCGUACUUGGUGUUACUGCGAAGGGGGGACGGAGAAGGCUAUGUUGGCCGGGCGACGGUU
rnacentral:rRNA from 1 species